CUCACCAUAUCAUCUGUCCCAAAUUCGAGUGCUCACAAUUUGGUAUCAAAGCAGCAAUUCCACCAGCGAUUUAGUGGCAAAACUCCACCGGAAGAUUUGGAAGCAUCUUCGGGUGAAUUUUGCGAAAAGGCAACUUGCCUUCUGUUGGUUCGCUUAAUCUUAAGCUGUGGAGUUGAUCUAGUUCGAUCCUGGAGAAGCCACAGUAUAUUACCAAGCAGGCUGCUCAGAUCAUGGCUCAGGAAAGCAAAUUGGAUCUCCUGUUGAAGACCAUCGAAGAAAAUGAGAAGAAGCGAGUUGAAGCCGAGGAGAGGAAUCGAGCUGAUCUGGUUUCGCUGAAACUUGCCAUGGAAAUUCGAGUACCUGAGGUGGAGAAGAAGGUGGAGGAACUGAGUGUGUCGCUGGGGGAGCUGAGUCACAAGGUCGAACACCUGGAGGGCAAUAUGCUGCUACAACUGAAGGAGCAGCAAGGCUAUUCCGGUAUCCCCAUCAUGAACACGCCCUUCAAUACAGGUACACCCGGAGGUUUCACCGCAUCAACCCCUCCUUUUGGUUAUGAUCUGCUGCUGCUUCUUCCCAGUCUGCAUCUAAUUUGAGCAUAGUGGGGAAUGUGCCUCCCAUGAAUUGUCGUCAAUUUUCUGGAGACAACCCUCAGAUGUAGAAAAUCAAUUGUGAAAAAUAUUUUGAUGUGUAUGGUGUGCAUCCUCAGAAUUGGUUAAGGUAGCAACUCUGAAUUUCAUCGGGGUGGUUGUAUUCUGGCUACAGUCAGUGCACCAAUCCAUAGAAGGAAUAACUUGGGGUGAAUUCUGCAGUAAGGUGUGUGCCAAAUUUACUAAGGAUAGACAGAAGGCUCUGAUCAGGCAGUGGUUCCAUAUGGAGCAAACUUCUUCAGUGAUGGUAUAUGUGGAAUAGUUUGACAAUAUUAUGCAUCAAAUGCUUGCAUAUGACAGUACACUGGAUGAUGUUUAUUUUGUCACUAAGUUUGUGGAAGGACUAAGAAAGGACAUCAGCACUGAUGAGGACACAACUAGCUCGGAUAUAACCAUGACUACAUUAUGUAUUAAUCAACCAAAGAAGUACUUGCUUGGGCGAAAAAAAAGAGACGGAGCGUAAGGAAUGCAUGGAUGAUUGAAGAAGUUGAUUGGGGAACAAACUAAGUCCUUCUCCAAGUCCACUUCCAUCUCACCACGUCACUUUUGGUCCAUAGAAGAUAAGAGAUAAACUUGUACACGUUUUGGAUUCGGAUUCGGCCAUUCUGACAGUAUCAAAUUCAAACGGACCUAGCUGCUGUUCUAGAAGGACUUUUCGGGCCCAUGAGUACUUGUUGGAAAGCUUAUGGAGUCUACUUUCAGAUGGUUUUGGUCCCGCAUCAAAAUUCCUUCUGAGCUGUCGGGAAUCUGCAAAACAAGCCACGUAUAUCAUCCAGUCCGAAUCUGUUUUCGGUUUUGGGCCUUGUAAUUGUGUCGUGGGCUUAGCCCAAGGGGUGUGCGCCCUAGGGAAACUCUAGGACGUCCCUAACCCUAUUUAUUCAAUAGCCGUCAUUGUUUAGAGUCGGGUCUUGCUUAGAUUAAUCUGUCAAGAACAGUUUCGCCGCUAGAUCGGUUUGUAAGACCCCAACUCGUGAGUUUAAUUAUUUAUCUGCAAUUUUGGUUG